rnacentral:rRNA from 1 species
AANUACUGGGCGUAAAGCGGGCGCAGACGGUUACUUAAGCAGGAUGUGAAAUCCCCGGGCUCAACCUGGGAACUGCGUUNUGAACUGGGUGACUAGAGUGUGUCAGAGGGAGGUAGAAUUNCACGUGUAGCAGUGAAAUGCGUAGAGAUGUGGAGGAAUACCGAUGGCGAAGGCAGCCUCCUGGGAUAACACUGACGUUCAUGCCCGAAAGCGUGGGUAGCAAACAGGAUUAGAUACCCUGGUAGUCCACGCCCUAAACGAUGUCGAUUAGCUGUUGGGCAGCAUGACUGCUUAGUAGCGAAGCUAACGCGUGAAAUCGACCGCCUGGGGAGUACGGUCGCAAGAUUAAAACUCAAAGGAAUUGACGGGGACCCGCACAAGCGGUGGAUGAUGUGGAUUAAUUCGAUGCAACGCGAAGAACCUUACCUGGUCUUGACAUGUACGGAACCCUCCAGAGACGGAGGGGUGCCUUCGGGAGCCGUAACACAGGUGCUGCAUGGCUGUCGUCAGCUCGUGUCGUGAGAUGUUGGGUUAAGUCCCGCAACGAGCGCAACCCUUGUCAUUAGUUGCCAUCAUUAAGUUGGGCACUCUAAUGAGACUGCCGGUGACAAGCCGGAGGAAGGUGGGGAUGACGUCAAGUCCUCAUGGCCCUUAUGACCAGGGCUUCACACGUCAUACAAUGGUCGGUACAGAGGGUAGCCAAGCCGCGAGGUGGAGCCAAUCUCACAAAACCGAUCGUAGUCCGGAUUGCACUCUGCAACUCGAGUGCAUGAAGUCGGAAUCGCUAGUAAUCGCAGGUCAGCAUACUGCGGUGAAUACGUUCCCGGGUCUUGUACACACCGCCCGUCACACCAUGGGAGUGGGGGAUACCAGAAGUA